CAACGCGCCGCCAGCCAACCAGAGGGCACAUGCAAAUCAGGCCACGCCCACCCGCGCCCCCGCCCUUGGCAGGGCGCGCUCCCGAGGGUGAGACGCGCGCUCCCGGCCCCGCUGAGCUCGGUUCGCGCUGAGCUGUCGGUGUCCCCCGACCCUCCGGAUCCCCGGCCUGGGCAGCCUCCGCCGGUACCCCAGCCCCGCCUCCGCCGGUACCCCAGCCCCGCCUGUCUCCCAGUUCCCGCCCCGAGCGGAGCGAUCCGGACGGGCGCGGCCCGCCCGCCGCGCUUCCAAAGCACCACGGCGCUCGGUGGGCUUCGGGUUGUGACUGUGGACUGACAGACUCCAGUCUGGGCAAAAGGGAAAUCAGCUGUGAAGAUCUGCAUGAAAAUGGCAAUGUCUUCUCAUUCUUCAGAGAAACAGCUGGUCCUUCAUUCAGCCCCCCUGAGAGGUGGAACCUCAUGAGAAAAGUAUUGAAACUACCAUUUGUAAUAAAAGAAAAUGAUUGUGUAAACAGAGACCAGUAAACUGCUUAGCAUGCAUUAGCAUCUUCUUAACAUUUGAAAAUGCAUUAAGAAAUUCUAGAGAGGAGAUUAUGGAGCUCAGCAUAGGUGCAGAUGUUGUCAACAGAGUGUGUGGGUGGGAUGUAAACAUGUGGGCUGUGCAUAAAUAUAGGCCUUUGGUAGAGCACUCCUGGUUCUCUUGAUUCUUAAAUACCAGGGAUUUGAAAUUCCUGGGUGUUUUUCCUUCCAGUUGGAGAAGGGAAGGAAGUUGUACAAAGGAUGUUGCACCUUGCAGAUGGCUAAACCAAACCACAGGCUGGUUGACAGAACUGCACAAUGCCGGCACAAAGGGGACAGGGACUUCACAAGUGCCACAAAAAGUUGCCCGAAGGAAUUAAUGCAGUUUGCCUUGAAAAGCAAAAAAUUCUAGUGAGCUUUU
rnacentral:lncRNA from 1 species